rnacentral:lncRNA from 1 species
UCGUUGCUGAGAAUUUUGUUGUCGUUGCAAUAUUAAGAUGAUUUUGCAACGUUUUUACUUGUUGGUUGCAAUAAAAAGUGACUCUUGCCACGAUUGAUUUUCCGUUGCUGAGAGCUUUAUUAUCGUUGCAAUACUAAGAUGCUUUGGCAACGCUUUUAUUUCUUGGUUGCAAUAAAAAGUCACUCUUGCCACGAUUGAUUUUCCAUUGCUAAUAGUUUUGUUGCUGUUGCAAUACUAUACAGUUAAAAUGUUUAAUAUAAUAUUAAAAAAAAUAAAAAAACGCUUCAAAUGAGAUUCGAGCCUGGAACCUCUGAGUUUUAGAAGCCACACACUAACCAUCCCAACCUUUUGAUGUUUGUGGCUUCUCUAGCCACAGCACGAUAUAUAUAAUAACGUAAACGUGUUUAAUUACAUAAUGGAAGCUAGAUUAAUCUACUCGAUGCAACCGAUCGGUCUUCUCUGCUCUGUAUCGCGCUCGUCCAUUGCCGGCCCUAAUUCUUCCUCGCACUCGGGUCCGGCGAUCUCCUCGCUGCCGUCGCUGCCCUCGCUGGUGGCCACCGUCGCUGUCCUCGCUGGUGGCCGCCGUCGCUGCCCUCGCUGGUGGCCGCCGGUGAUCUCCUCACUGCCCUUGCUAGUGGCCGCUGUUCCCCUCGCUGCUGAUCGACGACGUCCUCCAUCACC